UACGAAGGGGGCUAGCGUUGUUCGGAAUUACUGGGCGUAAAGGGUGCGUAGGUGGCUUUGCAAGUCAGGAGUGAAAUCCCUGGGCUCAACCCAGGAAUUGCUUUUGAGACUGCAUGGCUUGAGUACAGGAGAGGUGAGUGGAAUUCCCAGUGUAGAGGUAAAAUUCGUAGAUAUUGGGAGGAACACCGGUGGCGAAGGCGGCUCACUGGCCUGUAACUGACACUGAUGCACGAAAGCGUGGGGAGCAAACAGG
rnacentral:rRNA from 1 species